rnacentral:rRNA from 1 species
AGCGAACGCUGGCGGUAGGCCUAACACAUGCAAGUCGAACGGCAGCACAGUAAGAGCUUGCUCUUACGGGUGGCGAGUGGCGGACGGGUGAGGAAUACAUCGGAAUCUACUUUUUCGCGGGGGAUAACGUAGGGAAACUUACGCUAAUACCGCAUACGACCUACGGGUGAAAGCAGGGGAUCUUCGGACCUUGUGCGAUUGAAUGAGCCGACGUCGGAUUGGCUAGUUGGUGGGGUAAAGGCCCACCAAGUCGACGAUCCGUCGCUGGUCUGAGAGGAGGAUCGGCCGCACGAGAAGUGGGACACGGUCCAGGCUCCUGAGGUAGGGAGCAGUGGGGAAUAUUGGACAAUAGGGGCAAGCCUGAUCCAGCCAUACCGCGUGGGUGAAGAAGGCCUUCGGGUUGUAAAGCCCUUUUGUUGGGAAAAAAAAGCAGCAGGUUAAUACCCCGCUGUUCUGACGGUACCCGGUGAAUAAGCACCGGCUAACUACGUG